rnacentral:lncRNA from 1 species
UUCAUGGUACUGGCUAGCCUAGUUUUACUUCCUCUGUACAGAGCUGAGUGAGGGUGAGAAUGAGGAAAACACCUCUCUAUCUUAUGAAGGGGUCCUAGGAUCCUAGUGAGAGGGUUUCAGUUGGAUAGGCUAUUUCAGGCUUAAAGCAGGCCCAGAAUUCCAGGGAACCAUGAAGCAGGUUCUCUGAGGGCACUCUGAGGGGAUUGUAGUUGCUAAGAGGGGCCUAGACCAACUAGAUCAUGAUUAUUCUUUCUCAGUCUCUCAAAAAAUGCAAUGAAUAUCCCAGAACUUGGCUGGCUCUUUAAGGACAUCUUGCUUACAGACAGAGUGUUUUCCAAGUAGCUUUCUGCCUGCAGAGGCAUCCACAAACCUAAAUUGGAGACUUUAUCUACCUUGGGUCCCUCAAAACCCUGGGAAAUAGGACCAGAAAGAACCACAGGCUGUGGUGUUGGUUACAGAAAAUGAAAGGAUCCAAGUUAUCAAAAGUGGGUAACAAAGCAACAUCAAGAAACUGUGUCCUUAAAACUAAGAGAAUAUACAAGACAUUCUAAUCCACAUGGUUCUUAGGGUGAAAUCUAGCCUCUGGGCAGGUAAGAAAUCAGGGUGUGAGUCACCCCUCUUUAGCUGGAAUGACAAGAGACUCAGACCAUAACUCUAGAGAUUGAAGGGUUACCCACACCCGCAUUCCUUUUCAUGCCUCACCUAUCCCAGGUAUGCACUAAAACUACCGCUAAAAAUAACUGCAGAAACUUGAAGUCUGGGAAAUAGCACUGAACAGUCUCACCUGAAGUGAAGAGCUGAUUGGUGCCAAGUGGAAAGGAGACAGGAAGAAAAUGGGCUCCUCUGGAACCAUGCAGUCUCUAGGAGGUGGGCCCCAAGGUCUGCUCAGAGUCUUGGAGCUUUUGUUUGCUCGUAGCCAUCCAUCCCCUUAUACCAUCCAAACACAAAGGAUGUCUCCUGUCACUGUCACCCUUCAAUCAUCUGCCAGUGCCGUCAAAGAGGCCGGAAGGAGCAGGAGGAAUUGGGAAAGGAACAGGUGGGGAAAGUAAAAUAAAAGUGACCUUUGGACUGCCAGAAGAUUCACGUGAAACCUCACAUAAAAUCAGCAUGUGAAGACAGAGAGGAUGUUGGUGAUCACCAGAAUCUGUUCAUUUUUCCUUUGAAGAUACUUAAAGGAAGUAUGUGUAUGUUUACAGAUGCUUUGUAGUUUUAAAUUUAUGCUGGACAUUGCAUAAAAUGGAAAAUAGAGGUUAAAGUAAUAUUUGCUCCCAACAAAGGACCAUCCUACAGGAAGCUGAAGAUGGAGUCUUGCUGUGUUGACCAUGCUGAAGUGCAGUGGCUGUUCACAGGCACGAUCAUAGUGUACAACAGCCUCCAAUUCCUGGGCUCAAGUGAUCUUCCUGC